rnacentral:lncRNA from 1 species
UAGUAUCAUAAUGCAAAGAAAAUCUGAUAUACUGAUGCAACAGCAUUUGAGAAGUCGCUGUUUUUGGGUUAAAACUGAAGGGAAAAAAAAACUGUUCCCUUCGAACAAUCAAGAUUGUGUCAAAAAAUUUUUUAUAAAUCUAUAUGAAUAAAAAAUAAAUUCUUACCUAAAUAUCAACAGAAUAGGAGAUCAAAUCUUAAAAAAUCUGAAAUCAAUAUUUGCGGAAGCCUGAAAGUACAGACCUUCUACUUCGCAUACAUGCCAG